rnacentral:rRNA from 1 species
GGCAGCAUGACCUAGCAAUAGGUUGAUGGCGACCGGCGCACGGGUGAGUAACACGUAUCCAACCUACCGGUUAUUCCGGGAUAGCCUUUCGAAAGAAAGAUUAAUACCGGAUAGUAUAACGAGAAGGCAUCUUCUUGUUAUUAAAGAAUUUCGAUAACCGAUGGGGAUGCGUUCCAUUAGUUUGUUGGCGGGGUAACGGCCCACCAAGACAUCGAUGGAUAGGGGUUCUGAGAGGAAGGUCCCCCACAUUGGAACUGAGACACGGUCCAAACUCCUACGGGAGGCAGCAGUGAGGAAUAUUGGUCAAUGGACGAGAGUCUGAACCAGCCAAGUAGCGUGAAGGAUGACUGCCCUAUGGGUUGUAAACUUCUUUUAUAUGGGAAUAAAGUGAGCCACGUGUGGCUUUUUGUAUGUACCAUACGAAUAAGGAUCGGCUAACUCCGUGCCAGCAGCCGCGGUAAUACGGAGGAUCCGAGCGUUAUCCGGAUUUAUUGGGUUUAAAGGGAGCGUAGGCGGACUAUUAAGUCAGCUGUGAAAGUUUGCGGCUCAACCGUAAAAUUGCAGUUGAUACUGGUCGUCUUGAGUGCAGUAGAGGUAGGCGGAAUUCGUGGUGUAGCGGUGAAAUGCUUAGAUAUCACGAAGAACUCCGAUUGCGAAGGCAGCUUACUGGA